GGGGCUGUAAUGGUUUCGACGGGGAGAGAGAGGCGUGAGCAGCGGGCCGUGGCGGUGCACCACGAUAAAAGCGCCAAACAAAACGAACUGACAACGAUUAUUCUGUUGCCGUCGCUGCCUGAUUAGGCGCGACCGUCCUGCCUGCCUUAGUACCGCGCAGGGUCAGGGCGUCGAUUAGGUACUGAACGUGCACGGGUCUAAGCUUUGCAGCCCGUCAUGAAUUGAUGAAGCUACCAAUGUGACAAGCGUGUACACUCGCUCGCACGGCGGGAAAUUCAAUAAAUGUACUGCGCCCGGAGAUACUCUAACCGCUUUCUUUUCGGACACGGGUUCGACUCCCGUCAGCUCCACCA
rnacentral:tmRNA from 1 species